CCUAGAGUUGUAGGCUUUGCCUGCUAUCUCUUACCCAUGUCUUUUGAGUACCUUCGUUUCCUCGGCGGGUCCGCCCGCCGAUUGGACAAUUUUAAACCAUUAUGCAGUUGCAAUCAGCGUCUGAAAAAACUAUAAUAGUUAC
rnacentral:misc_RNA from 1 species